GAUGAAGAACGCAGCGAAAUGCGAUAAGUAGUGUGAAUUGCAGAAUUCAGUGAAUCAUCGAAUCUUUGAACGCACAUUGCGCCCUUUGGUAUUCCUUAGGGCAUGCCUGUUCGAGCGUCAUUUAAACCUUCAAGCUCAGCUUGGUGAUGGGUGACUGUCCCCCCCUCGCGGGGGGACUCGCCUCAAAAACAUUGGCGGCCGGUACAUUGGCUUCGAGCGCAGCAGAAACGCGGUCUCGAGCCCGGUGGAUCGGCUCCCAUAAGUCUAUUCUUUUAUUUUGACCUCGGAUCAGGUAGGGAUACCCGCUGAACUUAAGCAUAUCAAUAAGCGGAUGA
rnacentral:misc_RNA from 1 species